rnacentral:rRNA from 1 species
CACAUGCAAGUCGAACGAGGCAGCGGCCUCGGGCCGUUGUCGAGUGGCGAACGGGUGAGUAACACGUGAGGAACCUGCCCCGGAGACCGGGAUAACCAGGGGAAACUCUGGCUAAUACCGGAUGCCCCCGGAUGGUCGCAUGGCCAACCGAGGAAACGCUCCGGUGCUCCGGGAGGGCCUCGCGGCCUAUCAGCUUGUUGGUGGGGUAACGGCCUACCAAGGCAUCGACGGGUAGCUGGUCUGAGAGGACGAUCAGCCACACUGGGACUGAGACACGGCCCAGACUCCUACGGGAGGCAGCAGUGGGGAAUAUUGCGCAAUGGGCGAAAGCCUGACGCAGCAACGCCGCGUGGGGGAUGAAGGCCUUCGGGUUGUAAACCCCUUUCAGCAGGGACGAAAAUGACGGUACCUGCAGAAGAAGCCCCGGCCAACUACGUGCCAGCAGCCGCGGUAACACGUAGGGGGCAAGCGUUGUCCGGAUUUAUUGGGCGUAAAGAGCUCGUAGGCGGUUGCGUAAGUCGGAUGUGAAAACUCAGGGCUCAACCCGGAGACGCCAUCCGAUACUGCGCUGACUAGAGUCCGGUAGAGGAGCAUGGAAUUCCUGGUGUAGCGGUGAAAUGCGCAGAGAUGGGGGAGAACACUCGUGGCGAAGGCGUCUAGCUGGACCAGUCCUGACACUGAGGCGCGAAAGCAGUGGGUAGCAAACAGGAUUAGAUACCCUGGUAGUC